UUUUUUUUUUUUUUUUUUUUUUUUUUUUUUGCGCGCGCAAUUUCCUUCUUUUCGUUUGUUCAGCGCGCAAAAUACUCUGCUCCCUUCCACUUCCCCUACCCUACAGAAAAAAUACCUUCGCCGCCAAGCAAACAAAAACAACGAUGAGGAUUUCAUAGAAGAGCUGCGCAUGGAUGCAGGUGGAUCCGAAGGCGAUAGAAGGAAGCGUUUAAUGGCAAAAGUUUGGAUGUGUUGAAAUCGACGCAUUCGUGGAGGGUAUUGGAGGAGCACGCAGGGAUGGAGGAAUAUGGGUUUGAAAAUGAGAAGAGAGUGAGAUUCGUGGAGGCAAUUGUGAAAUUUGUAUUCAAUCACUCAAGAUUUCAACCCUUGCGUUCUUCACAUGAAAACAAGUUUUGUAGGUGGAAAAUUAGCAUAUUUGAAGAGUUUUAUUGGACCUCCACCUUUUCACAUUUCCAUUUCAUCAAAAACUUCUUUUUGAUCUUUGAAACACUAAAAUUUUUGGAGGCUCUUUGAAGUAUUUGCAUGGAUGGGAAGAAAUACUUCUCUUGACGACCGGAAGAAAGCAAUUGCAGCUGCCGAGAAACUGGUGCAUGGACCGGAGAGACCAAAAUCACAAAUCACUUGCGUGAUUGAAGGUUUUGAGACAGCGUCAUUCCGAUCUAAAUUUGACUCAUGGCCUCAAGUUACUAAUGUAGUGGUGUGAGAGGAUGGUCGAGGAAAGGUUGCAGGUUAGAAAGUAUAAACUUCAAAGAUUUUUAUUUUUCCAUCGGUAUUGUCCAUGUAUCAGUUUAAUCUAUAUUGCCACCAGAAAUUCAUUUCUUGUGUUUGGUUUUUUGGUGUCUAUUUUAGCUCUUCUGAAGCGCAAAGGGUGCAAUUGGGUAUAAAAGCUCUACACCCCAAUUAAACAAUAGUUAUGAGGUAUAGACGAGCACUGAGGGAGUCGCCUACGAGUCAUCGUUAGGCGAUGAGAGUCCUGAUAGGUUCGGUACAUGAGAUACUAUGAGAUAAGAGUCAGCAGUUUAGUAAAGACUUUUAUAGAGGCAAAACUGAAGGAACAGAGAGUUAGAGGGCAUAGUGUCCCUAGAAGCUCGCCUAGAGCUAUAGAAUCCACAAUUUGUCUUAGACUACCAGUGACCUAGAGACUUGGUACAUAACCAUAACAUGAAUCGAAGAUAAAGGUUCUGUAAAACUAGCCAAACCGAGACCUUUGUAAUUCCUAUUUGCUAAAUGAUGGCUCAGAAAGUUGCAGCAGUUACAUGCAAACGUUUCCUUCCUUUUCUUUUUUAUUCUCCUUGUCACCACCACAGGUAUCCUUUAUUCCUUUUCUUCAUAUUUUUGUUUUUUUUUUUUUAAACAAAUUGAGUUAAGACUUUAUUGUGCAGGUUCUUUGGCUAGAAGGACAUUGGUAGAACAGCCAAGAAAAACAGGCUUGGAGCAGGCGGUCCUUGAAGUCCGUGCUUGGGCACAUAUAGUGAGAAUUUAAGCUAAUCAAACCACAAUUUGCAGCCUACCUUAGAAACUUAGAAGGAAAACAACUUUGGGAAGGUCGAGGAACAAGAGCUCAAACACGCACAAGCAAAUGAGCAAUAGAGCACUUAUCAUUGUGGGGGUGUGCUGGGUCGUGGGCCGUGUGGCUGUGGAGGCUACCUUGUUGACUAGAAUUUUUUUAGUCUUUUGUUUAUUUGUACAUGAUUUUUGUAAUUCUUCCAUUUGCAAGUGAUCUUUGUAUUUUAAAUAGCUCAUGAGCGAAUGUAUGCAUUUAAAUUGUGUUAUUUUAAUGUGUUUAUUUAUUUGCUUGAUUUCUUUCCUUUUAAAAGCGAAAAAAUAUAUCGUUUUUUUAUAACAUA